GGAAUGCGCUGGCGGGAUGUUUACACAUGCAAGUCGAACGGCAGCACGGACUGGCCUCGGUGGCGAGUGGCGAACGGGUGAGUAAUGUAUCGGAACGUGCCUAGUAUGGAUAACUACGCGAAAAGCGUAGCUAAUACCGCAUACGCUCCUUCGGGGAAAGCGGGGACCUCGCCUCGCACUAUUAGAGCGCCGAUAUCGGAUUAGCUAGUUGGUGGGGUACCGUCACUCAAGGCGACGAUCUGUAGCUGGUUUGAGAGACGACCAGCCACACUGGGACUGAGACACGGCCCAGAUCCCUACGGAGGCAGCAGUGGGGAAUUUUGGACAAUGGGGGAAACCCUGAUCCAGCCAUCCUUAUGUGUGGCGAUGGGGUUGCCUUCGCUGUAAAGCACUUUUGCAGGAGAAACGGCACGGGAUAAUACCCUGUGUACAACUGACGGUACCUGCAGAAUAAGCACCGGCUAACUACGUGCCAGCAGCCGCGUAAUACGUAGGGUGCAAGCGUUAAUCGGAAUUAUCAUGUACGCGCAGGCGGUUCGGAAAGAAAGAUGAAACUCAGAGCUUAACUCUUGGAACUGCAUUUUUAACUACCGAGCUAGAGUGUGUCAGAGGGAGGUGGAAUUCGCGUGUAGCAGGAAAUGCGUAGAUAUGCGAGUGGUACCACCGAUGGCGAAGGCAGCCUCCUGGGGAUAACACUGACGCUCAUGCACGAAAGCGGGGAGCAAACAGGAUUAGAUAAUUCCAGUAGUCCACGCCCUAAACGAUGUCAACUAGCUGUUGGGGCCUUCGGGCCUUGGUAGCGCAGCUAACGCGUGAAGUUGACCGCCUGGGGAGUACGGUCGCAAGAUUAAAACUCAAAGGAAUUGACGCGGGGACCCGCACAGCGGUGUGGAUGAUGUGGAUUAAUUGAUGCAACGCGAAACCUUAAUGUACUCCUUGACAUGUCUGGAAUCCCGAAGAGAUUUGGGAGUGCUCGCAAGAGAACUGGAACACAGGUGCUGCAUGGCUGUCGUCAGCUCGUGUCGUGAGAUGUUGAAGUUAAGUCCCGCAACGAUGGCAACCUCCUAUUAAGAAGGCUACGAAAGGGCACUCUAAUGAGACUGCCGGUGACAAACCGGAAGGAAGGUGGGGAUGACGUCAAGUCCUCAUGGCCCUUAUGGGUAGGGCUUCUCAAGGAUGUCAGUGCAAAUGGUCGGGACAGAGGGUCGCCAACCGGCGAGGGGAGCCAAUCCCAGAAACCCGAUCGUAGUCCGGACGCAGUUCGCACCUGAUCAGUGAAGUCGGAAUCAAGUAGGUAAUCGCGGAUCAGCAUGUCGCGGUGAAUACGUUCCCGGCUCCACACACCGCCCGUCAGCACCAUGGGAGUGGUUUUACCAGAAGAAGUUAGCCUAACCGUAAGGAGUGAAGAUCACUACGGUGUAGGAUUCAUGACUGGGUGAAGUCGUAACAAGGCAG
rnacentral:rRNA from 1 species